GCAAAGCUAUGAUGUUACCAGUAUUGCUCCAUAUGAAAAAACUAUUAAAGGAUGAUUAGAAAUACUGAGGAUAUUUGGAUUCCUCUUACUCCAUACUCCUAUGGCCCCGUGUCCCAGAUGCUUUAAUACUGAAAAGGAUCCCACAACAGCUUCACUUGGAAGAAUGAAGAACCAUUCUCACCUCUAAAAAUCUGCAGGCUUGUGCUUUGAUUGUUCCAUGGAAAUGUAAGAUGUUAUUCUCAGACUCCAGAGGCUGGAAAGUCCCAUCUUCUGUAUCAAAUGUAUGAAGAUAAUUUCCUGGAACACAACCGUCAAAAAUCUCGAUGAUUUCUUUCCAAGCAGAUGCUUGCUACACCUCAGCUCAUUCCUGCUCGGUGAGCACGUCCGUCGACAUGUGAGAUGUGAGCCGAACCACUGCCGGGUCAGGGCGGUGCCAUCAUCCCUGUAAACCACCGGUGUGUCACGUUUGCUCAGAGUUCCCUGUUUUGACAUUGCUGACCCUGAUUACAACUCACACUGCAGCAAUAAUUUGCGUUAAACACACUCAUCCAAAGCUGAGCAGCUGCCGCAGCCAUCCCGCGGGUACCGCAGCACACAGCGGGGCCACGCGAGCGCCUCAGGCACCGCGGGCACGGCAGGUCCGGAUCCCCAGGUCCGGGUCCCGGAUCCAACAGAACCACCGGA